GCUGCGCCUAUCUCGACGGAGAGAAAACCGGGAACCCUUGCCCGGCUGGCGCGGCACCCUGAACCAAGGG
rnacentral:sRNA from 1 species